AAAUACACUAACUGCCUCUUAGUGUUUUAAGAGGGCCUGGCUGGUACUUGGAUGGGAGACCACCUGGGAAUACCGAGUGCUGUAUGCA
rnacentral:rRNA from 10 species